rnacentral:rRNA from 1 species
GUGCCAGCAGCCGCGGUAAGACAGAGGGUGCGAGCGUUAAUCGGAAUUACUGGGCGUAAAGGGCGCGUAGGUGGAAGGCUAAGUCAGAUGUGAAAGCCCCGGGCUCAACCUGGGAACUGCAUAUGAUACUGGCCAUCUAGAGUACAGUAGAGGGUGGUGGAAUUUCCAGUGUAGCGGUGAAAUGCGUAGAUAUUGGAAGGAACACCAGUGGCGAAGGCGGCCACCUGGACUGAUACUGACACUGAGGCGCGAAAGCGUGGGUAGCGAACAGGAUUAGAUA